AGCAGCCGCGGUAAUUCCAGCUCCAAUAGCGUAUAUUAAAGUUGUUGCAGUUAAAAGCUCGUAGUUGAAUUUCGGGAUCAGUUGGUCGGUCGUGCCUCGGUACGUACUGGUCAAAUUGAUUCCUACCUUCUGACGAACCACGAUGUCAUUAAUUUGGUGUCGCGGGAAAUCAGGACUGUUACUUUGAAAAAUUAGAGUGUUUAAAGCAGGCUCGCGCUUGAAUACAUUAGCAUGGAAUAAUGAAAUAGGACGUUUGAUUCUAUUUUGUUGGUUUCUAGGAUCGACGUAAUGAUUAAUAGGGAUAGUUGGGGGCAUUAGUAUUCAAUUGUCAGAGGUGAAAUUCUUGGAUUUAUUGAAGACUAACUACUGCGAAAGCAUUUGCCAAGGAUGUUUUCAUUAAUCAAGAACGAAGUUAGGGAUCGAAGACGAUCAGAUACCGUCGUAGUCUUAACCAUAGACUAUGCCGACUAGGGAUCGGAUGAUGUUAAUUUUUAUGUACUCAUUCGCGUACCG
rnacentral:misc_RNA from 1 species